AAUAUUUUCGCGUAUUGACCCCCCCUCACCCCCCAUGAAACCCUCACUUUCCCCAUUACUCAUCUCCCUCUUCCGUGAGCGGCGGCGACAGCGGCGGCGGCGCAUCUAGCAGAGAGGCCGGCGAGAGGAUAUUUCAAGGUCACCGUGAGCACUUCCAGCACAAUCCUUCAAUUGAGGAGCCCGUUGCUUUUUAUAUCCGGACGGUGAAGUUCCGAAGGAUGCUCUGGUGAUUUGCGGGAUGUUGUGUAUCGAUUGAAGGAACGGUCAAGGAAUGAAAAUGGUCUGCUAAAUGCCAGCUUGGCGAAGAACAUGAUGCUAGAUGCGUAUGUGUGUGAUUUAGAAGUCAGCAUCGUGGAGAAGUUGAUGUCCUGAAGAAGAGGAUUCAGAAACUGCAGUUGUCCUUUGUGCUUGCUCUGUUCUGCUUUGUCAUUUCACACUUUUGGAAAUGAUUGUCAUGAAGAAAAAGAAGCAUCCUGGUGAAAUUAGUCCAAUAGGGAGUCAUUUAUGUAUGUUGUUUUUCUUUGUAAGCUGUUAAGCAAAAUUCAGAAUGUAUGAUGUUAAAAAGGUUUAGAAUUUGUCUUGUAUCUUGUUAUGCAAAAUUCAGAAUUUGGUACAAUGCUUCUUGGAAGUGUUAUGAAAAUAUUUGGAAUUUGGUACAAUGCAAAAUCGCAAUGCUAUGGCUGAUCUUCUUAUGUAUAUUGUAUACUGUAUGCUGAUCUGAAAAGAUUCGGAAUAUAUGUCUGAUCUUCUUAUA